rnacentral:lncRNA from 1 species
CAUCUGUACGUCAAUAUGUGUGGCUGAGAAUGACAAAGCUUGAUGUCUCAUAUGUAUUUUAGAUGUAAAUCAUUUUAUCGAACAGCUGAGAAUUCAAAAGUCAGAGAAACAUCUGGUCUUUUUGUGAAUAUAUGUUAAAAUCAAGAUUAAGAUUUUAUAUCCUAAUGAGAUAGGAGAUGUCUCUACCAUCCUAUCCAAUUUUUAUGAGAAAACACGUCAUUAGUAUUUCGAAAGUCAUUCUUGUGAGGACAAAUGAACAAGGAAGAAAGAAAAGGAGAU